rnacentral:rRNA from 1 species
AUUGAGCGCUGGCGGCAGGCCUAACACAUGCAAGUCGGACGGUAGCACAGAGGAGCUUGCUCCUCGGGUGACGAGUGGCGGACGGGUGAGUAAUGUCUGGGGAUCUGCCCGAUAGAGGGGGAUAACCACUGGAAACGGUGGCUAAUACCGCAUAACGUCGCAAGACCAAAGAGGGGGACCUUCGGGCCUCUCACUAUCGGAUGAACCCAGAUGGGAUUAGCUAGUAGGCGGGGUAACGGCCCACCUAGGCGACGAUCCCUAGCUGGUCUGAGAGGAUUACCAGCCACACUGGAACUGAGACACGGUCCAGACUCCUACGGGAGGCAGCAGUGGGGAAUAUUGCACAAUGGGCGCAAGCCUGAUGCAGCCAUGCCGCGUGUAUGAAGAAGGCCUUCGGGUUGUAAAGUACUUUCAGCGGGGAGGAAGGCGAUAAGGUUAAUAACCUUGUCGAUUGACGUUACCCGCAGAAGAAGCACCGGCUAACUCCGUGCCAGCAGCCGCGGUAA